rnacentral:rRNA from 1 species
CAGUAGCCGCGGGAAUACGGAGGGUGCAAGCGUUAAUCGGAAUUACUGGGCGUAAAGCGCACGCAGGCGGUUUGUUAAGUCAGAUGUGAAAUCCCCGAGCUUAACUUGGGAACUGCAUUUGAAACUGGCAAGCUAGAGUCUUGUAGAGGGGGGUAGAGUUCCAGGUGUAGCGGUGAAAUGCGUAGAGAUCUGGAGGAAUACCGGUGGCGAAGGCGGCCCCCUGGACAAAGACUGACGCUCAGGUGCGAAAGCGUGGGGAGCAAACAGGAUUAGAUACCCGCGUAGUCCCUGUCUCUUAUAC